UACAGAGGGUGCAAGCGUUGUUUGGAAUUAUUGGGCGUAAAGCGCGUGUAGGCGGCUUUGCAAGUCGGGUGUGAAAGCCCUCAGCUCAACUGAGGAAGUGCGCCCGAAACUGCAGAGCUUGAGUGCCGGAGAGGGUGGCGGAAUUCCCCAAGUAGAGGUGAAAUUCGUAGAUAUGGGGAGGAACACCGGUGGCGAAAGGCGGCCACCUGGACGGUAACUGACGCUGGAGACGCGAAGCGUGGGAGCAAACAGG
rnacentral:rRNA from 1 species